ensembl:lncRNA
GUGGGUUUUAGGUUUUGUAGAGUUAGAGAUGGAGACUCUUAUGGAUACAAUUUUAUUUUAAGUGUUAUUUAUUCCCUUGGCUGACUGACUGUAUUAUUGUUCUUUUUUCUAAUUUUCUAAACUUGGAAUUUAAUAAUAUGAUUACAAGAAGUCUCCUUUUCACAACCAUAUAGAUAAUAACCGAUAUACCGACAUAAAAACCUUUUUUUUCCUGUUUGUUUGUAUUAUUAAUGUUAUAUUUUUACGUGUGUUUGACACGUAUACGUGCUGUUAUGCAAAAUGAAAUGUAACCCAACAGUACAGACUGUUAAAACUAAGAAACAAUAUUAAAAAAACAACAAUAAAACCCAGCGACGGCAGAGAAAGACAGAUGGCUUAUGAUUAGAAAUAACUUAACUUUCAUUUUAACUUUUACUCACUUGCCCAGGUGGUCUAUAUUGUUGAAAUCAUUACACUCUAAUAAGAAGUUCAGUGUCUUAUUAAACUGACUGCGUUUACAAUCUUUUAAACAAGUUUUAGCAAAACAAGUUUACAGCUUGCAGCAUAUGGUAACACACACACACAGCAUUGUUUCACUGAUAAAGUGACACUAAAAUUAACUGUCUAUGGAGGCGACACAUGCCCACAUCAGCAAAAGGAGCUGCACAGACAGGAAUAUAUUCCAGUUAUGCGUUUCUUCCAACACCCUAAUGUAUUCACUUCUCGAAAAAUAAAUGGAACUGCUGUGAUCUCUUUAGUGUUUAUCUCAAAGCAGUAUGAAUAUGAAUCACUUUUUAGUAGCCUACCAACCGCCCAAUUUAAACUUAAGAUCUGUUCACUUUCAAAGGGGCUUAUCUGCCACAGAUUUGAACUUUGGCCAUGCUUUUUUGAAUCAACCGCAAAUCCUCAGCCCAGGGCAGCAAAAAAAAAAAAAAAAAAAAAAAAAAUGCUGUUCAUUUUCAUGUUGCACCUUAAUUCUGCUCAUCUCUUGUGACUCCAUUUAUAAUAGAGGAGGCUUCACUGUACUAUCUUGGUAUUGUCAUGUGACCCAACUGUAAUUUCAGUUCUAAAUUUAAUUAGCAUUUCAAACGCAUAACAAUCCCCUCUGCCAAUCCAUGUCUCAUUAGUGCUCUCUAAAACUCUGAAGCUGUUUCAUUAACAUAGGUACGUUCCUGUUGAUGUUUUUCCCCUCUCUUCAAGUGUUAAAAAAAAUUAGAAUAACACGAGUUGGUGUAGAAGGUGGAAAUAUGAAAUGCUGCAUUUUUAUAAUUUUGAUUCCUAGAGGUGUUAUUGCCUGUGACUUUUGGCUUGCCUUAGAUAUCUACAAAGCUUGUCCUGACAUUUCAGCAAAAGAUUCAGUGUUGGUCUUAAGAAAUAAUGUGAUAAUUGGAGGCAAAGACAUUUAUAUUUAGUGCCUAACAACACUUAAUUGAUAAAAUACAUUUCAGGAACGCUCUUUAAUACCUUCAUCAGCUGGUGCUUUCAAAAAAUAAUUUUAAAAAUUCUCUGCUGCACAGAAAGUGAUGCAUUUUCCAUUAUUUUGAGCAACAGUGCUGUAAUUAUUAGGGAAAUCACAUUACUGAGGGGGGGGAAAAAGAAAAACUAUACUAACCGCUGCGGCAGAAAAGGAAAGGAAACCCUUAUUCAUCACAUCAAGGUAAUGCAAAAUUAUCCUUUAGUUCUGUAAGGG